GUAGGUGAACCUGCGGAAGGAUCAUUAACACGUGUUCCACGUAUCAACCAACCUCGACGAACUGUAUCUCAAGUCUUUUGGGUUCUAUCUUUGGUAGGCGGCGGCGGCGGCGGCGGCGGCGGCGGCUUCGGCUUCCUCCUCCUCCUCCUCCUCUUCCUCCUCUAAAGGUUUAUCUCUUGCUGACUUAGUGCAGACAAGAGACCUUGAGUGUGAAGAAUGUGGUUUAUUGGAAUGUCGUAUGCAAUUGGAC
rnacentral:misc_RNA from 1 species